AUAAGACCUGAAAGACUCACUUUCAUCUUCUGAAUGCAACCCA
rnacentral:tRNA from 1 species